UGAGCACGUCUGGGCCCUGUUGGAUCGGAGGAUGUUGAAAUACUUUGCUGCUUUUGACGUGUUCUUUGAAGAGAACCUCCCCCGGCUGUUCAAUCACUUUCAGAUCAACAACCUCACCCCUGAUCUCUAUCUAAUAGACUGGCAGGAUCUUCACCCUGUACAGUAAGUCGUUGCCGUUAGACGUGGCAUGUCAUGUGUAGGACGUGUUCUGUCGGGAUGGGGAGGAGGGGCUUUUCCGGACAAGCCUGGGGAUCCUGCACCUCUACCAGGAGGUCCUACUGCAGAUGGACUUCAUCCACAUCGCUCAGUUCCUCACCCGCCUGCCUGAGGACAUGGCCACUGACAACCUGUUCAGCUGCAUCACUGCAACACACAUGAUCAGCAGCAAUCGCAAGUGUAGCCAGGUCAGUUGUGUGUUGAGUUGAUCUGUGCUGAGACGGGGGUAGCAGUGCUCUUCAAUGGCUUCCUUUGCCCUUCAUCUUUCACUGAUGAACCUAUAGGGGAGAAGACAGCUGGGUAGUUCUUUACCAUUUAGCAUCUAUUUUUAAAGAUCACUGUUUUUUGCGGAGGAGAUGAGGAGAGGGGAGCUUUUAUGUUUGAGUUUUUUGGUGUGUUUUUGUAUCAACAGUGCCUUCUGCUGGACUUGUGUAGAACUACCAUAUGCUUAUUUUAUUUUACAUGUACAUCUUUCCUUUAGGUCUUCUCUGCAUUGAUGAAGGAUGGCAAUAAGGAAAUUGUCAACCACAGUCCAGCUCUAAGAAGCUAACGUUUUACACUGUACAGCUGUUCAAUGUACAUGUCUUUUUUUGUUUUUAGAUCAUUACAAAUUCCUACACGACUAAGUGCUUGUAAAUAUGAACUUAAACAUGCGUACCUAUAUACUGUAGUAUAUAUUUAUAUGUAUUAAUGUAUGGU